CCGACUGUGAGAGAGAACACAGUGCUAAGGAACAUAUUCUUUCUUUUUCUUUUUACCAAGUGUUCUGAAAAAAAAAAAAGUAAUAUUGCUUACAUGAAGAUAAUUAAAGAGAAUGGGACUUCUUUACCAGGAAUGGGAGUUUGUUAUAUAUUAAUUUGCAGCUCAAAGGUUUCUGUUGACUAAUCUCAGAAAAAGAAGGCACACAACAUACUUAUAAACACAUGUAACUCAUCUCAGAGUCUCCCAGGAUGGUCACAGCCCCACGUGGUGUUCCUGUGUGCUGGGUUCCACACUGAGUCUGCCACUUACUGAGAAAGUAAAGAGACACUUCUAAUGCCAAGUUGUUCCCAAAAACACCUAGGGGAAAAGAUGGGUGCAUUUUUGCAGGAGUCUAGACUGUAGUAUCACUAGUAAAUUGGUGCCAAUCUUCCUAUGUUACAGUUUAAAUAAAUGAUACUUGACUUUAUGAGAGUAUAUUUUGUUUUUCACCACACAAGUUCUGAUCUCAUAAUUUGCCACCCCAAAUCACAGAUGUAAUGCUAUUGGGGAGAACAACAAACCAGUGGACUGGCAAACUUAUCCCGAAUCUGCAAGUGGCUCCUAGGACAAAGCCUACUCACUGUGAAGACAAUAAGGAUGAAGACCUUUAUGACAAUCCACUUCCACUUAAUGAAUAAUGAGGAAACUGGGGCACAGAGAAAUUAAGCGACUUGUCCAGGAGGACAGGGCCAAUAACCAGUGGAACCAUAAGAAAAAAAUCCAGGUACACUGAUUCUAGCAUGUGCACUCCUAAACAUUAUGCUGCAACUCUCAAAAAUUGAAUUAAUUUUUCCUUCAAUUCAGCAUUACUUAGCAUUUCAAAAAUAGCAAGCUGACUUCUCCAGAAAUCAAGAAGUACUACCCUAAUAACAUCUAGGCAUGUGUGCGAGAAAUUCUUUUAUCACUGGCUUCUAUAAUUGAGCAAGGUUAGCAUGUGUCAUUAUGAAUUGUUGCACAAUUUAGUAAAUUAUUUAAUUACUACUAAUGAGGAAACAUACUGUACAUGGUUGUAAUUAUCCUGUUGGAAAACAAUGUUGCCAUUUGUACGUUUAAGAAACACUUGCUACAUACCAAAUUAACUCUUGAGGGAAGUUUAUUUUGUAUUUUGGAAUAAUCAAACAACUCUAAAUGUUGUUAAUGGAUGUUAGAUAGGAUUACAAGGAAACUGAAAAAUACACAAAUCAAAGCUGACAUUCCUAAAAGACUCCAAACCAGAAACAUCUGUUAAAAAGGUAAAAAAAUAAUGAUUUCAUGGUUCAUGAUAUUCUACAGAAAAAGCACAAGAUAUAUUUACUGUUUUUACUUUUCCAAAUUGUUUCACUGCUGCUCUUUUCAUAGUUUUUGCAACAUAUAUAAUAUAGCAAUUUGUUCACCUACUUUAAUCACCCAACAAAUGGCUUUGAUAGCUUAAUAAUCUUAAGCAGAGCCAUUUAUUUUCAAUGUACUUUGAGUAAGCUGUUAUCUACGUUUAUUAAGUGACUGUAGUUAUGCAUAGUCUUGUUAUUUACAAAAGAACACAGUACAUACAUAGCCUCGGGAUGUUUUGACAACACAUCUUAAGUAAAAUAUUGGUAAAAUAAUUUUCAAAAUAUAAUAAAAGUGAGAAAGAGUGACUUGUUUGUGUUAGCUACAGUAUACAUUAUUGAGAAACUACUGAUAUGCAUUAUUGAAUUUGUUGUAAAGCCUUAAGUACGUAAUAGUCUCGGAAAGCCCAACUCGCCCAUUAUUUCAAAGGUUAGGUACAUGUUAUAUGGUGAAACUGACUUUCAUAAACCAGAAUGUAAUGGUGAUUUGAUUUACAACAUCUUUGCUCCUUGAAAUAUAACAGAGGUAAUGUAGCAAAGCCAUUAUAAACAAGGAAGAAUAAAAAAGGGAAAUAUCAGAGUUCAAGACACUCAAAGAGGGCAUAUGGUAAGUCUCUCUGCUUCCAAGGACACGAACAGUUAACUGUCUGUUUCUGACAGUUGCCUAUCAUUAAAUAAUCAUAUUCAAGCAAGAUAAGUGAUAUUAUCAUAUUUGCUCUGUUGUCUUGUUUGUUAUAUUAUCCCAAGGUCAGCUGCCAUUAAACUGGGUAAUCCAAAUCAAACAAAAGUUUUGUCCUCUUAUGAAUAAUGCAUAUACUGGAAUCAUAUUAUGAUUUGCAGAUUUCAGCACUUGUCAAAAAACUAGUAAGAAACUGUUUCCUGUCACCAUGUUAGAUUUAGGCGUAACAAAACAAGAGAAGAGAAAACAUGUUUUAUAUGUUCAGAGAGAUCGCUGCUCAAUUUGCAGUAUAACAUAAAUUACUACAUAGUGGUUAUUUUACACUAACAGUAUUUUAUCAACUAGAACUACUGUAAAACAUAUAGAGUGCUCUCUAUUUUAAUGGUAUUUUCUGAUGUCACUGUGUCAAACUAGAAGAAUUGCACUUUGAUUCGUCUUUCAGAUCUCAGUUUUUUAAUCUUAUUAAAAUAUAAUUUACAUGUUGGAAAACUCACCCUUUUUAGGAUACAGUUCUUUGAGUUGUGACUAAGGCAUUUAAUUGUUUAACCACAAUUAAAUUAAAAGACACAGAACAGUUCUAUUCCCCUCUCCCCCAGUAUUCCUCUGUGCCCCUUUAUAGCCAACCCUCCACCCCAAAUCCUGGCAACCAGAGAUGUUUUGUGUCCCUACAGCUUUGCCUUUAAAGAAUAUUAUUUCAGUGGAAUAGUAUAUUAUGCAGCCUGUUGACUGGUUUCUUCUACUUAGCAUAAAGCAUUUGAGAUUCAUCCCGUGUUGUUGAGUACAAUAAUUUGCUCUGUUUUAUUGUUGAGUAAUAUUCCAUUCCACAGUUUGUUUAUUCAUUCCUCAAUUGAAGGACAGUUGGGUUGUUUCCAUUUUAUGGCAAUCAAAAAUAAAGCUGGUAUAAAUAUUCAUGGUACAGGCUGUGGUGUGAACCUAAAUUUACAUUUAUAUUGGUAAAUACCUAGGAAUGGGACUGUUAGAUCAUAUGGGAUGGAUAUAUACAUUUAAUUAUAAGAAAUGCUUGAUGGUUUCCAGAGUAGCUGUGCCAUUUUGCAUUCCUAUCAGCAAUGUAUGAGAGUUCCAGUUGCUCCAUAUCCUCUCCAGCACAUGGUGUUGUUGAAUAUUUAUCCAUUCAUUGCUGAUUUUAGUUCUUCAAAGUACUUAAGUUCUAUAAAGUUCCCAGGAACACUGAAUUUUAAAAGACAAAAUUAUUCCUCCUAGAGGAAAUAGAGGGUUAAGUUUCUGUGAGUCUGUGCUCAUAACUUUUUUGUCAACUGAUCAAUACCUAACUUUGUUUUAUGUGUGUUUCUAUUUAAAGACAUCUUAUUUAGUAUGUAUUGCAGAUUCAGUAACAUUGCACUGGCAGCCAACAGCAGUAUAACUCAUGGCUAGAGACAGCUUAUGUAACACAUUGUAUUUUCUCCAUUAAGACAUAUCACAAUCUUCUCGCGCUUGAACACUAGACAGCACUUCAGCAAGCACUGUGCUUGGGGAUCAUUUUAAACAGUGAGACUUAUCAACAAAAAGCACAAACAGGGUGGGGCAUGGUGGCUCACGCCUGUAAUCCCAGCACUUUGGGAGGCUGAGGUGGGUGGAUCACCUGAGGUCGGGAGUUUGAAACCAGCCUGGCCAACAUGGUGAAACCCCGUCUCUACUGAAAAUACAAAAGAAAUUAGCCGGGCAUGGUGGUGCGUGCCUGUAAUCUACGCAGGAGGCUAAGGCAGGAGAAUCGUUUGACCCUGGGAGGCGUAGGUUGCAGAGAGCCGAGAUCGCACCACUGCACUCCAGCCUGGGUGACAGAGCGAGACUCUGUCUCAAAAAAAAAAAAAAGCACGAACAUUAGAAAAAUAUGGCAUUGAAUAGACUUUAAAAAGGACACCUGUUUAUAAUAUGACAGCUGAAACAAGAGGGCAGAACAUCACCUCAAUGGACCUCAGUGGGGAACCUGUUCUAGGACGCUGUGUGCACAUACUUGUCUGCCAAUGACCGCAUACCCAGUGUUGAUUUUGGGGUUAUAAAUAAAUUUUAGUGAGUAUGCAAAUUUGUAAACACAAAAUCCUCCAGUAAUGCAAAUGGACUGACCUUGUUUAUCUGCUUUUUUUUGCCAUUCUAUGGUCUAAGUUUAAAUGUCACUGCCCUAUAGACAUCUUGUUCUUCUCUUUUUGUAAACCUGAUUCGUCACCCUCUUUUCAAAUCAUUUAUUAUCUUUUCUGCCUUCUUCUUUAGACUCUCCACACUAGAGUCAGGAAACAUACCUGUCUUAUUCGCCAUUGUAUUCCUUAUAUCAUUAAGGCUUACCAUAGUGCCUGGCAUACAUAGAUGUUGAGUAAAUAUUUGUUGAAUCAGUGAAUACUUCUUUGAAAGUAGCAUGUAUGGAAGAAAAAGCACUGGAAUUGGAGUUGGAAAAUCUGGUUUUCCAUUCUAGUUCCAACAGUGGCUUUGUGAUUGGUGACAAGUUACUUAUAUUCUUUGAGCUUCAAUUUCCUCUCCUGUACAACUGAAAAACUAACACCUAUCUUUAGAGAUGUUUUUAAGAUCUUAAAAGUCAGGCAAUAAACAUGAAAACCAUUAGUAUCUGGCACACUGUUGAUACCCAAUAAUCACUGGAUUGGAGUGGUUUAUGACCUACCACUAGACAUUUAUAACUGUAUGAGCCAUAUAAAAUAUACUAACAAACAGUGUGAACAGGAAGUUUAUUUGGACAUACAGAUAGUGCUAACUCUCCAUGUAUUUGGCAUUAUAUACUCAGAGCUCCCAAAUAAUUAAGAGAAUUUUUCACUUUAGAAGUGGAUCUUUUGUUAUUCUGUCAACCUAGCUAUGUUCUUCAGAGUCAAAGGUUCUACACACGAUAUACUAUGUACAUGUCACCAUGAAAACUGAUAAUUUGUCUACUCCAUUUCAAAAAAAACUUCCUGAAUGUUUAAAAGCAAUUCUUCAGUAAUGUAGUUAGAGUUUGUACUCUCUGGAAACAAGAUUUUUUUUUUCUUUCAAACACUCCUAGACAAACAAGGACAUUUAGUUAAGAAGCUUAUUAUGAUUCUGUCUGAAAUGCUUUCUUACAAAAACCUAUUGUAUCCCUUAGGAUUUCAAGGCAAUAAAAACCAAUAAUUUUAAUAAAAUUAUGUCAGUCUUCCCACAUAUAACUAAGGCUAACAACAUAAUCUAAAUGUUAAACUAUAGUGGAAAAGAAACUACGUAAACAAUGCAUAAGGUUACUUCACUCAAAAUUUAUACAGAUGGUUUUCUUACAAAAUUACGAUGAUCAGAUAUGAUUAAUGAUACGAUUUAAGAUUAUUGGUCUUUAAUAGAGGCAAAACAUGAUGACUCACUGACAAAGCAAGCUAAUAGCAGGGAGGGAGAGAAGGUAAGUUUGUAUAUUUGACUACAAAGCAAAACAGAUAAGUAAAACCACAGAGUCAAUAAUGAUUAUAUUAUAGGAAACUUUCAUUGUUUCCUAACUUACAUUUAUAUUAACUUUUCUGGAGAUGACGUUUUUUAAACAUAUAAAUCGUCAUUAGGAACCUGACAACAGUUCUAAAUCAAACCUAGGGUUUAAAACAUCAUUUGCCGACAGACAUCCUCCAAGUGUUUUCCGCAGAGGCACAUCACUUCUGAUUAUUCCCAGGCUAUUUUAAAUGAUCUUGGACAGGGCUACUGAAUGACUUGUCAGCGAACAGGAAAACAUUAUGACACCACUUCUCCAGAUUUCUUCCCAGAACACGAAAUAUUUGGGAUCGUUCUAAUUGAAUCAAGGCUAGCUUGAAAAAACAAGUUAAGCUUCACUUUAAAGCUUUCAGUUUUAACUGGAGGAAUGCUUCUAACAUAUGGCAGCUGGGCUCUGACUCACAGCAACCUUCAAAUUCUGGCCAAAAUGUCUGUUUCCUGAGAUUGUGUCUGAUAUGCCUGUGCAUCCCUGGUGGGGCCCAGCAAGCAUUCAGUAAAUGCUAUUGUUGGAACGAAUGAAUGAAUUAAAGGGCUCCUAAUUAGGAGCUACAAAUUCUUCCAGCAACAAAAUAAUCCCAUAGGAAAGCUGCAAUGUACUUGGAAUUGGUAUCUACGAAGAGUUCUAUUUUCAGCUCCUUUACAAAUUAUUUUUAUCAUUUAUGCUCAACUUGGUCUUUCUUGUUGUUGUUUUUUUUUAAACCAAGAUGUGAAAAGCACAGAAGCAUUUUCUAGAACAUGAAAGACCAGUAUACUUUGUAGAAAGUUUCAUUCGUAUGUAGCUUGUGUGUGAUAAUUAUUUUUAAAUCUCAGUUAAUCAUCAUAUAUUUUCUCGGAGCAGACUUUGGGUGAGGCACUACGUGAAAUGUUUGAAAAAGAUAGUUAAAAGGAAAAAGUCCUAUUCUUGACUAUGCACCAAAAAUUGUAACUAACACUAGUAGAAGGUAUGCAGUUUCCAGUAAGGCAAGUGGUUAUCUAAAGAAAUACUAAAUUAGAACUGCUAUCUCAGAAGUAUAAACAAUUGCUAUAAUACUUUUCAAUCAGACAUCUCUCACAUGAAAGCCUUGUGAAAUGGAAGACAGAAGCCGAAAAAACAGAAAAGAAAAAAGAAAAGAAAGAAACAAAGAUCAGCAGAGAUACCACUAAAACUCCAAGAACCAAAAGUUUGUAUAUGUGCUUUAAAAAGCAUCCCUUUGAUAUUUACUCCGAGGCUUUUUUUCUCUUAUGUAAGACAUAAUUCUGACAACCUUGAUGUCUGAACUUCCAGUAUACCGGAGAUAUUUUGGAAGCACAACAGAGACUUGUGCUCAUAGGCGCGAAGAGAAACAAUAAAUAUUGAAGGAAGAGAUUUAAAAAAUGAUAAAAAGGUAGACAUAAGAACUCAAAAAGUAUGGCAGCAUGGAGCCAUUUAGCAUAGGGGCAAAGAGCCAACCACACCUGCCGAGUUUCUGAGUGCAUCCUGUAUUACAGCAUACUGUACACACCAUAAUAAUUAAUGGUUAUAAUGACUUUGAAUCACUAAGGACGUAUUAACCCAUGAACUCUAAGAAGACAGGGACUUACAUAAUAUAUUUUGAAAGCUCCCCUUCCCCCUAUAAAGUGAUUUAGUUU